AGUGAACGCUGGCGGUAGGCCUAACACGUGCCAGUCGAACGGCAGCACAGUAAGAGCUUGCUCUUACGGGUGGCGAGUGGCGGACGGGUGAGGAAUACAUCGGAAUCUACUUUUUCGUGGGGGAUAACGUAGGGAAACUUACGCUAAUACCGCAUACGACCUACGGGUGAAAGCAGUGGAUCUUCGGACCUUGCGCGAUUGAAUGAGCCGAUGUCGGAUUAGCUAGUUGGCGGGGUAAAGGCCCACCAAGGCGACGAUCCGUUGCUGGUCUGAGAGGAUGAUCAGCCACACUGGAACUUAGACACGGUCCAGACGCCUACGGGAGGGAGCAGUGGGGAAUAUUGGACAAUGGGCGCAAGCCUGAUCCAGCCAUCCCGCGUGGGUGAAGAAGGCCUUCGGGUUGUAAAGCCCUUUUGUUGGGAAAGAAAAGCAGCAGGUUAAUACCCCGCUGUUCUGACGGUACCCAAAGAAUAAGCACCGGCUAACUUCGUG
rnacentral:rRNA from 1 species